ensembl:lncRNA
GCUGCUUUUUGAUUGAAACUUCACCACACAUCAGCCCUGGGGAGUCUGUUUUCAACUGAGAAAAGCUGUGGGUUGAGUGCUAUCCCCACCCUUCUGUCCACAACCAGCCUGGGAGGAGCUGGUAGAGAAACAAUGGGGGGGGGCCCUGAACAUGGAUGCCCACCAGCAGUGUCACCGUCUCCUAGAGGAACUUCCUAGGGGGUUAAUCCUUAAUGGCAGGGUUCAAGGAGCCCAAGCAAGUGUCUCCUCCUGGGAUCUCUGAGGCACAGAUGGGCUUGAGGCUGCCUCUAAUUUGAGCACACUGAGGACCAGGGACUACUCUGGGCCUCAGGUUUUCCAACCAGGGUCUCNNNNNNNNNNNNNNNNNNNNNNNNNNNNUAUAAUCUUAUAAUACUAGUUAGUAAUUAGUACUUAUACUAACACGAUACUAACAGUACUUGUAUCAACACCUCCUGGAGCAACGCAUCCAUCCAAAAACUUAACAACUAGUCUUUGGAGGACCUAUUCCCAGAGCUGGAAACUGACUGCGACCUAAAGGCCUGGGGCUCUAACACAGGAGCGUCCGCGCUACGCCUUGACCCUUGAAGCCCAUCACAAUGUCCUUAGCCUAACAAGACCCACCAACCACACGGGGCUUCUGCAGACCUGGCUGCACGCAGCACUUAUAGGAGGCAGGGGAACCACACUAGUUACCUUCCCGGAGGAUGAAGACAAAGGAACUUUGGGGCCACCUCCUGCCUCAACACACUCAGAAAGACUCUGGGCUCCAGCAGAGGCACAAUGCAGCCAUCUUUCCCCUAGUCUCCCAGGACUUCAGUGGGGUUACCAGCGCCCGCAGGGAGGGGUCUGUCACCAAGGGAUAAACCCACACACCAAACGUCUGAAUUAGAGUAGGAAGGCGCUUUCAAACGGAGCACCUAGCCACAAACCGAUGCUCUUAUCCUGGCAGGAGAAUCCAUUAAGACGUGGUAUUUGUUCAGGCUCAAGGCCCCAGCUGCUUAAUAGGUUCCAGAAGGGCUUGCAGGAGUCGUUUUCUCACCCCCUGCCCCCACAGCGUCCCGGAGAGGCCCGGCGAGACUCGGGUCUGCCCACUCUC